rnacentral:lncRNA from 1 species
AAGAAAACAUUUUUUUCUUUAUAGUUUCUCUAUUGAAGUUGAACCAUGGUAAAAGAAUUAUGUCCUAUAUCAAUAUAGCAAUAACUUUCAUUACUAUGUUACUAUAGUAUUCUUUUCAACUCCUUUAAAACUCCAUCGAUUUGUUCCUAGUAGGUAAUAUAGCAUAUCAUUUCUCCAUAAGGAAAGCCACACACUCUGAAUUUGGUUCACUUAAUAUUGGCAGUGGGGAGCUAGCUGCUUUAUGAAACUGAGCAAAGCAUUUCUUAGUCAUUUUGCAAAUACAUGUUGUAAUCAUGAUUAAAAUAGGCAUCAUUAAAUAGGAAAUCAUUUUGACUGAUUUUUAACUUGUUUAUAUAAAUCUAGAAAACCUGCCUUGCAUUAGUGAUUUUUAAUUCUAAUUUAAAAAUAACAAAAAUUAGUCUUAUUAUCACAGCCACUAAGAAGCAAACAUCAUCUUCUAUUAAGACAUAAACUACUGGCAGUUGCAUUUUUAUAUGUUCUUUAUCCUAAUUCUCAACAGCAUUGAACAUUAGCUUUGUGAUAUAAUUGACUUUCAGUGCUUCUGGGCAGGCAAGCUCUGUGUUUGUUUGUUUUUAAGAUUUUAUUUAUUUAUUCAUGAGACACACAAAAAGAGAGGCAGAGACAGAGGCAGAGGAGAAGAAGGCUCCCUAUGGGGAGCCCAGUGUGGGACUCCAGGUCAUGCCCUGAGCUGAAGGCAGCCAUUCCACCAGUGAGCCACCCAGGUGCCCCAGGCAAGCUCUGAUCUGAGCUUCUGAAAGUGCUCAAUUUACAGAUCACUAGGAAAGUAUUGUGGUCUUGCUCCUCUCUCCUGGACACAAGCCACAGUGGCUCCCUUCCUCUGUAGUUACUGCUAUGGAGAAUGGCUUCCGGGGGAACACUGAAGUAAAGAGACUGGCUUCAGAGGCGCAGGGAGAAAUCUUCUAAAUGCUACACACUACCACUCACCUGAAGCAAUGGUGAAGCAAUCAUAUACCUGUAGUCCCAGCCAUGUGAUCACUUCACUUAGGUUUCAUAUAUGUUUCUUUUUGGACUUCCAGUCAAAUUUCUGUCCAAUGAUACAAAAUUCACUUGAACAAGAUGAAUGCCAUCUCCAAGACAUCACUGUCCUUCAUUGCCUGAUAUCCAUUGUCUUGAAAAUUAUUGUUUCAUAUAUUUUUUCUAGUUUUAUGGUUGUUUCUGGCAGUGGAGUAAAUCUGGUCCCUAUUACAACAGUUUAGCUAAGGGUGGAAGUCUGUGCAAUAAGAUUUUAUUUUUCAAAGUUAAAUAAUAGGAUAACAAUAAACUAAAUAAAAGAGAGUGAUUUGGUGAGAUG